GUGCUUGCUUAGGCAGCACAUUUACUAAAAUCGGAACAAUACAGAGUAGAUUAGCAUGGCCCCUGCACAGAGAUGACAUGCAAAUUAGUGAAGUGUUCCAUAUUUCU
ensembl:snRNA U6 U6 spliceosomal RNA